GACGAACCGUACGAACGUUAUUCGGAAUUACUGGGCUUAAAGGGUGCGUAGGCGGCGCGGAAAGUAGGGUGUGAAAUCCCUCGGCUCAACCGAGGAACUGCGCUCUAAACUACCGUGCUCGAGGGAGGUAGAGGUGAGCGGAACUGAGGGUGGAGCGGUGAAAUGCGUUGAUAUCCUCAGGAACACCGGUGGCGAAAGCGGCUCACUGGACCUCUUCUGACGCUGAGGCACGAAAGCUAGGGUAGCGAACGGGAUUAGAUACCCCAGUAGU
rnacentral:rRNA from 1 species